rnacentral:rRNA from 1 species
CCUACGGGAGGCAGCAGUAAGGAAUAUUGGACAAUGGAGGCAACUCUGAUCCAGCCAUGCCGCGUGCAGGGAGAAGGCGCUACGCGUUGUAAACUGCUUUUGUACCAGAGAAAAUCAUUGUACGUGUACGAUGUUGAUAGUAUGGUAAGAAUAAGCAUCGGCUAACUUCGUGCCAGCAGCCGCGGUAAUACGAAGGAUGCAAGCGUUAUCCGGAUUUAUUGGGUUUAAACGGGAGCGUAGGCGGUCUUAUAAGUCAGUGGUGAAAUCUCGUUGCUUAACAACGAACGUGCCAUUGAUACUGUAGGACUUGAGUACAGUUGCCGUUGGCGGAAUGUGUCAUGUAGCGGUGAAAUGCAUAGAUAUGACACAGAACACCGAUUGCGAAGGCAGCUGACGAAACUGUAACUGACGCUGAGGCUCGAAAGCGUGGGGAUCAAACAGGAUUAGAUACCCUGGUAGUCCACGCCCUAAACUAUGAUUACUCGCUGUCGGCGAUNUACUGUCGUAGCUAAGCGAAAGCGUUAAGAAUCCGACCGUGGGGGUACGCCCGNGAGGUGAACUCGAAAGGAUUGACGG